rnacentral:lncRNA from 1 species
GCAGAGGACUGGUCUUUGCUAGAAUGCAGACAGCAACAGAAAGAACUCAAUAAUUUAUACAUCCUGAGACCUCAACACCACCUGAACUUGCCUUAAAACACAUGAAAAUAAUGCUUAGAAAGUGUAAGAAGUCAAUUUUCAGAAUAAGGAAAAAAUGUGAGAGACCACAGCUAAGUAAAUACAUGGAAAGAAAGACUAGACACUAGAGGAAUGGACACAAAAAUGUGGAGGUACCUCAAAGGAAACCAUAAUCAACAAACACAAAGAGAGACGUUGCUGGAAAAACUUUGCAGUUCCACAAAAUCUCAAGAAGCCAAGCCACAAGUCUAUAGUUGUAGCAGCUGUUAAUUUCACAGCCAUGGAAGACAUGGCAUUUGAAGAUGUGCCGACAAAGUACAAAAGUCGAACAGCAAGGUUGAUUUCCCUCUGCUGGACAUGCCCUAGCUUUGGACUACUUUGUACUGACCACCCCAGCUGCACAACAGAAGACAUUGUCUGAUGUCUGUAGCAGAGAAUGCAGUACAUGUGGACAGAAAGGAGGGAAGAGGCGAAAAAGAAGAAGAAAGGGUAAACAAACAUAAAAUAGUGAAAGAUGCAUUUCGGGAGGGAGAUGUGGGUUAAAUGGCAACUGGUCUUCAUUUGAACUCAUGAGCACGGUGAAAGUGGAUUUUUUAAAGUUGUGCUGUGCUUCUGCCUGUCAUUAUAUUAAUAUUUAUUGAUUUUAAUUUCCUUCUCUUUUCCAGAGCUUCCCCUUGCUUGCUUGCCUCAUGCAGAUGUCUCUUUAUGGAUGGCCUGCUUCUCCCCUUUGGUUUAGAGUCUGCUCUUAGAAAAGAUUGAAUAAAUGCAGCUUUGCACAUCUUUUUUUUGUCCUC